rnacentral:rRNA from 1 species
GACGAACGCUGGCGGCGUGCCUAACACAUGCAAGUCGAGCGGAGAAACAAAAGAGCAGCUUGCUGCGAUUUGUUUCUUAGCGGCGGACGGGUGAGUAACGCGUGGGUAAUCUGCCUCAAACAGGGGGAUAACACAGGGAAACUUGUGCUAAUACCGCAUAAGACCCCACCAUGGCAUCAUGGAGAGGUCAAAGGAAGAAAUUCCGGUUUGAGAUGAGCCCGCGUCUGAUUAGCUAGUUGGUGAGGUAACGGCUCACCAAGGCGACGAUCAGUAGCCGAACUGAGAGGUUGAUCGGCCACAUUGGGACUGAGACACGGCCCAGACUCCUACGGGAGGCAGCAGUGGGGAAUAUUGCACAAUGGGGGAAACCCUGAUGCAGCGACGCCGCGUGAAGGAAGAAAGGCCCUCGGGUUGUAAACUUCUUUGACCAGGGACGAAGAAAGUGAACGGUACCUGGAGAACAAGCCGAACGGCUAACUACGUGCCAGCAGCCGACGGUAAAAUAGACCG